AAGCUCGUAGUUGAAUUUCGGGAUCAGUAUGUUGGUCGUGCUUCGGUACGUACUGUCAUUACUGGUUUCUCCCUUCUGAAGAACCACGAUGUCAUUAAUUUGGUGUCGUGGGGAAUCAGGACUGUUACUUUGAGAAAAUUAGAGUGUUUAAAGCAGGCUUUCGCUUGAAUACAUUAGCAUGGAAUAAUGAAAUAGGACGUUUGAUUCUAUUUUGUUGGUUUCUAGGAUCGACGUAAUGAUUAAUAGGGAUAGUUGGG
rnacentral:rRNA from 1 species